UACGGAGGGUGCAAGCGUUAAUCGGAAUUACUGGGCGUAAAGCGCGCGUAGGUGGCUUGAUAAGCCGGUUGUGAAAGCCCCGGGCUCAACCUGGGAACGGCAUCCGGAACUGUCAAGCUAGAGUGCAGGAGAGGAAGGUAGAAUUCCCGGUGUAGCGGUGAAAUGCGUAGAGAUCGGGAGGAAUACCAGUGGCGAAGGCGGCCUUCUGGACUGACACUGACACUGAGGUGCGAAAGCGUGGGUAGCAAACAGG
rnacentral:rRNA from 2 species